rnacentral:rRNA from 1 species
GUGAGGAAUUUUCCGCAAUGGGCGAAAGCCCGACGGAGCAAUGCCGCGUGAAGGAUGAAGGCCUAUGGGUUGUAAACUUCUUUUCUCAGAAAAGAAUUAUGACGGUAUCUGAGGAAUAAGCAUCGGCUAACUCUGUGCCAGCAGCCGCGGUAAGACAGAGGAUGCAAGCGUUAUCCGGAAUGAUUGGGCGUAAAGCGUCUGUAGGUUGUUUAAAAAGUAUUCUGUCAAAGAUUAGGGCUUAACCCUAGAUAGGCAGAAUAAACUUUUAAGCUAGAGUUUGGUAGAGGCAGAGGGAAUUCCCGGUGGAGCGGUGAAAUGCGUAGAUAUCGGGAGGAACACCAAAGGCGAAGGCACUCUGCUGGGCCAAUACUAACACUGAGAGACGAAAGCGAGGGGAGCAAAUGGGAUUAGAAACCCUGGUAGUCC